rnacentral:rRNA from 1 species
GACGAACCGUGCGAACGUUGUUCGGAUUCACUGGGCUUAAAGGGCGCGUAGGCGGAUGGUCAAGUCGGGGGUGAAAUCAUUUCAGCUUAACUGGAAAAGUGCCUCCGAUACUGAUCGUCUCGAGGGAGGUAGGGGCAUGUGGAACUUCCGGUGGAGCGGUGAAAUGCGUAGAUAUCGGAAGGAACGCCGGUGGCGAAAGCGGCCUGCUGGGCUAUGGCUGCACUGAGGCGCGACAGCGUGGG